ensembl:lncRNA
GAAAAAUCUCUGGAAAGCUUUCUCCUGCAAACCUGGAAUCUUCUGAUACGGCACAGCUCCCAGCCACACCACCAGUCUGAUGUCCAUUACUGUAAACAGCUCACCCAAUUCUCCCCUCAGCCCCGCUGCUCAACCCGGCACAGGGACAUGCUUCGAGCCUGUUUUUUAGGCUGCGUGGCUAAGGAAGACACUCAUCUUCCAUUUUCACCCACUUCCCACAAAGAACAAGCGGGCUAUUAGCACGCUGGACGACCCGACAAAAACCCGUCGAGGGGCCGCCGCUGGGGAGGCAGGAGGGGCUGGAGACCUGCAAGAAAACCCGCCCGGAAGAAAAGGCAGUGACGGGAACGUGGGAAGGCACUUUAUUUACGCGGAUGGCCAAGGCCGGACUGCUCUCCUAGCACUGCGCGUUCCGACA